rnacentral:rRNA from 1 species
UCUCAAAUCAGGUAGGACUACCCGCUGAACUUAAGCAUAUCAAUAAGCGGAGGAAAAGAAACUAACAAGGAUUCCCCUAGUAGCGGCGAGCGAAGCGGGAAGAGCUCAAAUUUAUAAUCUGGCACCUUCGGUGUCCGAGUUGUAAUCUCUAGAAAUGUUUUCCGCGUUGGACCGCACACAAGUCUGUUGGAAUACAGCGGCAUAGUGGUGAGACCCCCGUAUAUGGUGCGGACGCCCAGCGCUUUGUGAUACAUUUUCGAAGAGUCGAGUUGUUUGGGAAUGCAGCUCAAAUUGGGUGGUAAAUUCCAUCUAAAGCUAAAUAUUGGCGAGAGACCGAUAGCGAACAAGUACCGUGAGGGAAAGAUGAAAAGCACUUUGGAAAGAGAGUUAACAGUACGUGAAAUUGUUGGAAGGGAAACGCUUGAAGUCAGACUUGCUUGCCGAGCAAUCGGUUUGCAGGCCAGCAUCAGUUUUCCGGGAUGGAUAAUGGUAGAGAGAAGGUAGCAGUUUCGGCUGUGUUAUAGCUCUCUGCUGGAUACAUCUUGGGGGACUGAGGAACGCAGUGUGCCUUUGGCGGGGGUUUCGACCUCUCACACUUACGAUGC